rnacentral:rRNA from 1 species
CUUUGGGGAGCCGGCGACGGCACCCUAUCGCUGAGAAGCUGAUCAAACUUGGGUCAUUUAGAGGAAGUAAAAGUCGUAACAAGGUUUCCGUAGGUGAACCUGCGGAAGGAUCAUUAUUGAAAUUAUAGGUGACGGUUGUAGCUGGCCUUUCUGGGGCAUGUGCACGCCCGAGACCCUUAAUCCACACACCCCUGUGAACCCAAUGUAAGGGCCCGUAAAAAAGGCCUUUAUGUCUCAUCACCAACCUUUUAUGUCUCAUAGAAUGUAAAUCUAUAUCCUCGCCUUAAAAAAGCGUUGAUAAAACUUAUACAACUUUCAACAACGGAUCUCUUGGCUCUCGCAUCGAUGAAGAACGCAGCGAAAUGCGAUAAGUAAUGUGAAUUGCAGAUUUUCAGUGAAUCAUCGAAUCUUUGAACGCACCUUGCGCUCCUUGGUAUUCCGAGGAGCAUGCCUGUUUGAGUGUCAUUAAAUUCUCAACUCCGAAUCGAUUUGUUUCGACUCGGAGCUUGGACUUUGGAGUGUGCUGGCGUCUGUCGGCUCCUCUUAAAUGCAUCAGCGGAAUAUAACCCCGGACAUCAGUGUGAUAAUYGUGUUGCGCUGUCGUCAGAGGUAUAAAAGUCCGCUCAUAAUGGUCUUCGGACAAACUUUACAAUCAAAUUUGACCUCAAAUCAGGUAGGACUACCCGCUGAACUUAAGCAUAUCAAUACAGCGGAGGAAAAGAAACUAACAAGGAUUCCCCUAGUAACUGCGAGUGAAGCGGGAAAAGCUCAAAUUUAAAAUCUGAUGGUCUCGCGGCCGUCGAGUUGUAAUCUGGAGAAGCGUUUAUCCGCGUCGGACCGU